AUCCUGGCUCAGGAUGAACGCUAGCUACAGGCUUAACACAUGCAAGUCGCGGGGCAGCAUGAAGUCAGCUUGCUGACUUUGAUGGCGACCGGCGCACGGGUGAGUGACGCGUAUCCAACCCUGCCUGUUACCACGGCACAGCCCGUCGAAAGGCGGAUUAAUGCCGUAUGUGGUCCUUUGCGGGCAUCUAAUUAGGACUAAAGGUUCAGCGGUAACGGAUGGGGAUGCGUCCGAUUAG
rnacentral:rRNA from 1 species